rnacentral:rRNA from 1 species
CAGCAAUGCGUGGCAUACGGCUCAGUAACACGUAGUCAACAUGCCCAGGGGACGUGGAUAACCUCGGGAAACUGAGGAUAAACCGCGAUAGGCCAAGGUUUCUGGAAUGGACACUGGCUGAAACCUAUAUGGCCCCUGGAUUGGACUGCGGCCGAUCAGGCUGUUGGUGAGGUAAUGGCCCACCAAACCUGUAACCGGUACGGGCUUUGAGAGAAGGAGCCCGGAGAUGGGCACUGAGACAAGGGCCCAGGCCCUAUGGGGCGCAGCAGGCGCGAAAAUUCUGCAAUAGGCGAAAGCUUGACAGAGUUACUCUGAGUGAUGCCCGCUAAGGGCAUCUUUUGGCACCUCUAAAAAUGGUGCAGAAUAAGGGGUGGGCAAGUCUGGUGUCAGCCGCCGCGGUAAUACCAGCACCCCGAGUGGUCGGGACGAUUAUUGGGCCUAAAGCAUCCGUAGCUUGUUCUGCAAGUCUUCCGUUAAAUCCACCUGCUCAACAGAUGGGCUGCGGGAGAUACUACAGGGCUAGGAGGCGGGAGAGGCAAGCGGUACUCAGUGGGUAGGGGUAAAAUCCUCUGAUCCACUGAAGACCACCAGUGGCGAAGGCGGCUUGCCAGAACGCGCUCGACGGUGAGGGAUGAAAGCUGGGGGA